rnacentral:rRNA from 1 species
AUACGGAGGGUCCGAGCGUUAUCCGGAAUCAUUGGGUUUAAAGGGUCCGUAGGCGAGAAUCUAAGUCAGUGGUGAAAUCUUGCAGCUCAACUGUAAAAUUGCCAUUGAUACUGGAUUUCUUGAAUUAGUGUGAAGUGGUUAGAAUGUGUAGUGUAGCGGUGAAAUGCAUAGAUAUUACACAGAAUACCAAUUGCGAAGGCAGAUCACUAACACUAUAUUGACGCUGAGGGACGAAAGCGUGGGGAGCGAACAGGAUUAGAAACCCCGGUAGUCC